rnacentral:rRNA from 1 species
GAUGAACGCUGGCGGCGUGCCUAACACAUGCAAGUCGAGCGAGGGUUUGCUCAGUAUUGAGUAUUCCAACAACUAGAAUGUUCAAUUCUGAGCAAAACCAAGCGGCGGACGGGUGAGUAACGCGUGGGUAACCUGCCCUAUACACAUGGAUAACAUACUGAAAAGUUUACUAAUACAUGAUAAUAUAUAUUUGCGGCAUCGCAGAUAUAUCAAAGUGUUAGCGGUAUAGGAUGGACCCGCGUCUGAUUAGCUAGUUGGUGAGAUAACUGCCCACCAAGGCGACGAUCAGUAGCCGACCUGAGAGGGUGAUCGGCCACAUUGGAACUGAGACACGGUCCAAACUCCUACGGGAGGCAGCAGUGGGGAAUAUUGCACAAUGGGCGAAAGCCUGAUGCAGCAACGCCGCGUGAACGAUGAAGGUCUUCGGAUCGUAAAGUUCUGUUGCAGGGGAAGAUAAUGACGGUACCCUGUGAGGAAGCCCCGGCUAACUACGUGCCAGCAGCCGCGGUAAUACGUAGGGGGCUAGCGUUAUCCGGAUUUACUGGGCGUAAAGGGUGCGUAGGUGGUCCUUCAAGUCGGUGGUUAAAGGCUACGGCUCAACCGUAGUAAGCCGCCGAAACUGGAGGACUUGAGUGCAGGAGAGGAAAGUGGAAUUCCCAGUGUAGCGGUGAAAUGCGUAGAUAUUGGGAGGAACACCAGUAGCGAAGGCGGCUUUCUGGACUGCAACUGACACUGAGGCACGAAAGCGUGGGUAGCAAACAGG